AGAGUUUGAUCCUGGCUCAGGAUGAACGCUAGCGGCAGGCUUAAUACAUGCAAGUCGUACGGGAUCCGAGAUAGCAAUAUCUUGGUGAGAGUGGCGCACGGGUGCGUAACACGUAUGCAACCUACCUAUAACCGGGACACAACCUCGAGAAAUUGUGGCUAAUAUCCCAUAACACUGCGAAGUGGCAUCAUUUUGCAGUUAAAACUCCGGUGGUUAUAGAUGGGCAUGCGCGACAUUAGCUAGUUGGUGAGGUAACGGCCCACCAAGGCUACGAUGUCUAGGGGUUCUGAGAGGAUUAUCCCCCACACUGGUACUGAGACACGGACCAGACUCCUACGGGAGGCAGCAGUAAGGAAUAUUGGUCAAUGGGCGCAAGCCUGAACCAGCCAUGCCGCGUGAAGGAUGACGGCCCUAUGGGUUGUAAACUUCUUUUGUACGGGAAAAAACCACCGGUCGUGUAUCGGUGCUGAUGGUACCGUAAGAAUAAGCAUCGGCUAACUCCGUGCCAGCAGCCGCGGUAAUACGGAGGAUGCAAGCGUUAUCCGGAUUCAUUGGGUUUAAAGGGUGCGCAGGCGGAAUAAUAAGUCAGUGGUGAAAUCCUGCCGCUUAACGGUAGAAUUGCCAUUGAUACUGAAAAGCUUGAGUACAUUUGAGGUAAGCGGAAUGUGUAGUGUAGCGGUGAAAUGCUUAGAUAUUACACAGAACACCAAUUGCGAAGGCAGCUUACUAAACUGAUACUGACGCUGAUGCACGAAAGCGUGGGGAGCGAACAGGAUUAGAUACCCUGGUAGUCC
rnacentral:rRNA from 1 species